UAUGAUUAGUGGCGGACGGGGGAGUAACAUUUAGGAAUCUACCUAGUAGUGGGGGAGUAGCUCGGGGAAACUCGAAUUAAUACCGCAUACGACCUACGGGUGAAAGGGGGCGCAAGCUCUUGCUAUUAGAUGAGCCUAAAUCAGAUUAGCUAGUUGGUGGGGUAAAGGCCCACCAAGGCGACGAUCUGUAACUGGUCUGAGAGGAUGAUCAGUCACACCGGAACUGAGACACGGUCCGG
rnacentral:rRNA from 1 species